AAGGACAAUAAAAAUUUCAUGCAAAAUGUCUACUUUUACAUCAGCAAAUUAGACGGCCGGAUGAAAGCAAAGGAGUUGCUAGUAGAGUUGGAUCCCUCAAACUACACAUAGAGCAACCAGC